UACGUAGGGACCGAGCGUUGUCCGGAUUCAUUGGGCGUAAAGAGCUCGUAGGCGGCCACUCAAGUCGAAUGUGAAACCUCGAGGCUUAACCUUGAGCCUGCAUUCGAUACUGGGCGGCUAGAGUCUGGUAGGGGGAUCUGGAAUUCCUGGUGUAGCGGUGGAAUGCGCAGAUAUCGGGAGGAACACCGGUGGCGAAGGCGGUUCUCUGGGCCUUACCUGACGCUGAGGAGCGAAAGCGUGGGGAGCGAACAGG
rnacentral:rRNA from 1 species